GGGAAUGCUGUAUGCCUACCUGCAUUGCUGGUUAUGCUUGCAUUUGCUUUUAUCAUUUCUUUGUCAUUCUACUUUUUUUUUUAUAAAAUUUUCAUUUCAUUCCGUCCUCCAUCCCAUUCGGCCCUCCCGGACCGUAUGAAACUGUACGGGGACUUCCUACACUUUGUGUCAAAGAACUGUAACUACCCAUCUUCUGGGGAUGAAAAUAGCUAAUAGCUAUGCACAUUUUUUGCUAGACCAAAACAAGAGUGUCACUGACUCGACUUUCUCAUAUUUCACAAAUUUACAGCUGAUAUGGAAAGUAAGGAAAAGGAAAAAAGUCUAACGCG
rnacentral:lncRNA from 1 species